rnacentral:lncRNA from 1 species
CUUGAUAAAGAUUAGUAAAAAAUACUGUAUAAAAUAAAUAAUAAAAAUACUGAGCUAUACUGUAUGCUCCAAAAAAUUGGGAAAUUGUAUUAUUUUAUAAUAAUACAAUUGCGCAGAGAAAGAGGUUUUGUUUAAAAAGUAAUCUUUUUUUCUUCUAAAAAAGAUAGGGGUCAAAAUUAUUUGCACCCGUUUUCAAUAUCUUUCAAUAUACCUCACCUUGCGAGCUAACGGCACUGAGCCUUUUUCAAUAUACAUGGAGAACACUUUGUGCUUGGGGUUAUUGUCUUGCUUGAAUAUCCACUUGUGGCCAAGAUUUAGCCUCCCGGCAGAGACAACCAGGUUUUUGGCUAAAAUGUCCUGGUACUGGGUAAAGAUCAUGAUGCUGUUAACUUUAACUAGGGCCCCAGGAUCCACCACCAUAUUUUACAGUAAGUAUGGAGUUAUUUUCUGCCUAUCAAAUCCUUUCGUCGCCAAACCCACUACUGGUGUGCGUGGCCAAAGAGCUCCAUUUUCAUGUCAUCAGACCAUACCACUGGUUUCAAUCCAAGUGCCAAUGUCGUUAGCAAACUCCAGGCGUUUACAUUUGUUGGGUGACGUGAAAAUAAAACUCUUUAGCCAUGUACACCAGUGGUGGGUUGGCGCCUCCCAUUGGGUUGUGCCGUGGCGGAGAUCUUUGUGGGCUAUACUCGGCCUUGUCUCAGGAUGGUAAGUUGGUGGUUGGAGAUAUCCCUCUAGUGGUGUGGGGGCUGUGCUUUGGCAAAGCGGGUGGGGUUAUAUCCUGCCUGUUUGGCCCUGUCGGGGGGUAUCGUCGGACGGGGCCACAGUGUCUCCCAACCCCUCCUGUCUCAGCCUCCAGUAUUUAUGCUGCAGUAGUUUGUGUCGGGGAGCUAGGGUCAGUCUGUUAUAUCUGGAGUAUUUCUCCUUUAUUAUCUGGUGUCCUGUGUGAAUUUAAGUAUGCUCUCUCUAAUUCUUUCUCUCUCUCGGGGGACCUGAGCCCUAGGACCAUGCCUCAGGACUACCUGGCCUGAUGACUCCUUGCUGUCCCCAGUCCACCUGGCCGUGCUGCUGCUCCAGUUUCAACUUUUAUUUUUAUUUCACCUUUAUUUAACCAGGCAGUUCAAACCGGGAUUCAUCCAUGAAGAGUACAUUUCUCCAGCGUGCCAGUGACCAUCGAAGGUGAGCAUUUGCCCACUGAAGUCGGUUACAACUGCAGUCAGGUCAAGACCCUGGUGAGGACGACGAGCACGCAGAUGAGCUUCCCUGAGACUGUUUCUGACAGUUUGUGCAGAAAUUCUUUGGUGGCUGGUCUCAGACGAUUUCGCAGGUGAAGAAGUGGGAUAUGGAGGUCCUGGGCUGGC